rnacentral:rRNA from 1 species
AGCGAACGUUAGCGGCGGGCUUAACACAUGCAAGUCGCGCGAGAAAGCUGUCUUCGGACAGUGAGUAAAGCGGCGGACGGGUGAGUAACGCGUGGAUAACCUACCCUUUGGCGGGGAGCAACAGUCCGAAAGGAUUGCUAAUACCGCAUAAGUUCUUCGGAUCUUUGGAUCUGAAGAGGAAAGCCGGCUUCUACAUGUAAGCUGGCACCGAAGGAGGGGUCUGCGUCCCAUCAGCUAGUUGGUGAGGUAACGGCUCACCAAGGCUAAGACGGGUAGCUGGUCUGAGAGGAUGAUCAGCCACACUGGAACUGAGACACGGUCCAGACUCCUACGGGAGGCAGCAGUGGGGAAUAUUGGGCAAUGGAGGCAACUCUGACCCAGCCACGCCGCGUGAGUGAUGAAGGCCUUCGGGUCGUAAAGCUCUGUGGGGAAGGACGAAACUUCGUCGGCUAAUACCCGGCGGACUGACGGUACUUCCUUAGCAAGCACCGGCUAACUCCGUGCCAGCAGCCGCGGUAAUACGGAGGGUGCAAACGUUGCUCGGAAUUACUGGGCGUAAAGCGUACGUAGGCGGCUUGGAAAGUCGGGUGUGAAAGCCCUCGGCUUAACUGAGGAAGUGCAUUCGAAACUAUCAAGCUUGAAUACUGGAGAGGGUGGCGG